UCUAGAUCAAAUCGCGAUGAACGAUCUAGAUUUAUUUUCUCUUUAAACGCGAUCAAACAGUCGAGAUCAAACAUGAUGAACGGCCCAGAUUUAAGGAAUAUGGGCAUAAAUAUCUCACUUCACACCGAACCUUAAUCCUAGCCGCCAACCCUUCGCCGGAGAAGAAGAACGAGUUACUGGAGAAGGGAGCCAACCACCGCCCGCUGCCGCGCCAG
rnacentral:lncRNA from 1 species